UACGUAGGGUGCGAGCGUUAAUCGGAAUUACUGGGCGUAAAGCGUGCGUAGGCGGUUUGCCGUGUCCUGUGUGAAAGCCCCGGGCUCAACCUGGGAAUUGCAUGGGAAACUGGCAGGCUUGAGUGUGGCAGAGGAGGGUGGAAUUCCGCGUGUAGCAGUGAAAUGCGUAGAGAUGCGGAGGAACACCGAUGGCAAAGGCAGCCCUCUGGGCCAACACUGACGCUCAGGCACGAAAGCGUGGGGAGCAAACAGG
rnacentral:rRNA from 1 species